CCAUAUUUGUUGAAAACUGUAAACCUACAGAUCCAUAAAUCUCAUAGUUCCUAAGCAGAAUAAACAGAAAGAAAUCAUCUCAGCACGUAUCAUAAACUAAUGGCUGAAAAUUACCAAGUUUUGAGAGUUGAGGGAAGGAGACAGAGUUAGGUUUGUGGGUGAGAUAAAGCCCAAGAUAAGUGAAACAUUCCAUGCCACUCUCUGAGGAUUCAUAACCAGCAGGUAUAAAUUCUCAUCACUGACUUUAACUAUUGCCAUGUUUUUUUGGAUCUGACAUUAAAAGUGAACAAAAGUACAAAAUGAAAUGACCGCUAUGCUGUCAGACACUGUCACAGUUAAAGGAUUUAGAAGUUUUUCAGUAGUAACUCUUUACUGUGCAGACAAAUAUGUUUGAUUGUGUUUAUUAUAGGAAUCUCUGUAGCAUUCACUUAUUAAAUAUUUAUGGAGCACGUAUUUUGUUCCUAGACUGGAGGUAGGUAGAUAUUUUGUGGUAAUAUGCAAAAUAAAUAAGGUAAACAUACUACUAGUUAGUUCCCCUAAUUUAGAGAUUACAUUUCAAGUUCUUAAUAGCCAUAUGUAGCUAGUGGGUAUUUUAUUAGACAGCUGAGCUAUAAAAAUGUUCCAUUAUUACAGAUAUUCUAUUGGACUGCCCUGCACUAAAGAAGUACUGUAAAUUGAAGAAAAUUGCUUUGUCAUCUAUAAGCAUGUCCCUCUGUCUCUUGUCAUGGAAAGGAAAAUGUUACUCUGUGAAAAGAAAAUCUAGUCCCAAAUACCUUCCAAGAAUCUGGUCACAGUGCCUGACAUUCCAGCACGUUCCUGAAAAUUUUUAGUUUUUCUCAAGUUCAUUACUAAAAUGCUUCUGUGUAUGAAUCUGGCUGCUGUGUAUUAAUCUGGUUCCCUAUGUAGCUAUUUGUAAUUUAACAAGUCAAUGCUCUCAGGCUUACAAAACCUGGAGAAAAAAGGUUUUGGCAACUGGGGAGGACAGAGCACAUCAGGGUAGCUUUCACUUAAAUUUGUCAUGCACUGAACUACGUUGAACCCACGAGAAUGAAGUGAUGUACAGGUAAUGUAUUAGGUAUCAUAAGUAAUCAAAGGUUGUUUAAAAUAUAUGGGAAUAUGUGCAUAGGUGGAAACCUGUGCAUAGGUUAUAUCCAUACACUACACCAUUUUAUGUAAAGUCAAGCCCUGCCCCACAGGGAGGCAGCUAAGGCCCAGCGAGACAUCGAGCGCAGCGCCGGUGGGUCGGCACUGCUGGGGGACCCAGUAUACCCUCCGCAGCCGCUGGCCCAGAUGCUAAGCCCCUCAUUGCCCGGGGCGGCAGGGCCAGCCAGCUGCUCCGAGUGUGGGGCCCGCCAAGCCCACACCCACCUGGAACUCCAGUUGGCCUGCAAGUGCAGGCGCAGCCCCAGUUCCCGCUGGCGCCUCUCCCUCCACACCUCCCUGGAAGCUGAGGGAGCCAGCUCUGGCCUUGGCCAGCCCAGAAACGGGCUCCCACAGUGAAGCGGUGGGCUGAAGGGCUCCUCAAGUGCCGCCAAAGUGGGAGCCCAGGCAGAGGAGGUGCCGAGAGUGAGCGAGGGCUGCAAGGGCUGCCAGCACGCUGUCACCUCUCAAUAGGGUUUCGCCAUGCUGGCCAGGCAGGUCUCCAGCUCCUGACCUGAAGUAAUCCAC
rnacentral:lncRNA from 10 species